AACGAACGCUGGCGGCAUGCCUAACACAUGCCAGUCGAACGAGACCUUCGGGUCUAGUGGCGCACGGGUGCGUAACGCGUGGGAACCUGCCCUUAGGUUCGGAAUAACUCCCCGAAAGGGGUGCUAAUACCGGAUAAUGUCUUCGGACCAAAGAUUUAUCGCCUUUGGAUGGGCCCGCGUUGGAUUAGCUAGUUGGUAGGGUAAAAGCCUACCAAGGCGACGAUCCAUAGCUGGUCUGAGAGGAUGAUCAGCCACACUGGGACUGAGACACGGCCCAGACCCCACGGGGGGGAAGAGGGGGGGAAAUUGGGAAAAGGGGCGAAAGCCUGAUCCAGCAAUGCCGGGGGGGUGAGGAAGGCCUUAGGGUUGUAAAGCUCUUUUACCCGGGAUGAAAAGGACAGUACCGGGAGAAUAAGCCCCGGCUAACCCCGG
rnacentral:rRNA from 1 species